UACGUAGGGGGCUAGCGUUGUCCGGAAUCAUUGGGCGUAAAGCGCGUGUAGGCGGUCCGGUAAGUCCGCUGUGAAAGUCGGGGGCUCAACCCUCGGAUGCCGGUGGAUACUGUCGGGCUUGAGUCCGGAAGAGGCGAGUGGAAUUCCUGGUGUAGCGGUGAAAUGCGCAGAUAUCGGGAGGAACACCAAUUGCGAAGGCAGCUUGCUGGGACGGUACUGACGCUGAGGCGCGAAAGCGUGGGGAGCAAACAGG
rnacentral:rRNA from 1 species